CGCUGGCGGCGUGCUUAACACAUGCAAGUCGAACGAUGAAGCCUAGCUUGCUAGGUGGAUUAGUGGCGAACGGGUGAGUAAUACGUGAGUGACCUACCUUUGACUCUGGGAUAAGCCUGGGAAACUGGGUCUAAUACCGGAUACGACCAAUCUCCGCAUGGGGUGUUGGUGGAAAGCGUCAUGGAGUGGUUUUAGAUGGGCUCACGGCCUAUCAGCUUGUUGGUGAGGUAAUGGCUUACCAAGGCGACGACGGGUAGCCGGCCUGAGAGGGUGACCGGCCACACUGGGACUGAGACACGGCCCAGACUCCUACGGGAGGCAGCAGUGGGGAAUAUUGCACAAUGGGCGCAAGCCUGAUGCAGCGACGCCGCGUGAGGGAUGACGGCCUUCGGGUUGUAAACCUCUGUUAGCAUCGAAGAAGCGAAAGUGACGGUAGGUGCAGAGAAAGCGCCGGCUAACUACGUGCCAGCAGCCGCGGUAAUACGUAGGGCGCGAGCGUUGUCCGGAAUUAUUGGGCGUAAAGAGCUUGUAGGCGGUUGGUCGCGUCUGCUGUGAAGGCUGGGGCUUAACCCUGGUUUUGCAGUGGGUACGGGCUAACUAGAGUGCAGUAGGGGAGACUGGAAUUCCUGGUGUAGCGGUGGAAUGCGCAGAUAUCAGGAGGAACACCGAUGGCGAAGGCAGGUCUCUGGGCUGUAACUGACGCUGAGAAGCGAAAGCAUGGGGAGCGAACAGGAUUAGAUACCCUGGUAGUCCAUGCCGUAAACGUUGGGCACUAGGUGUGGGGGACAUUCCACGUUUUCCGCGCCGUAGCUAACGCAUUAAGUGCCCCGCCUGGGGAGUACGGCCGCAAGGCAAAAACUCAAAGAAAUUGACGGGGGCCCGCACAAGCGGCGGAGCAUGCGGAUUAAUUCGAUGCAACGCGAAGAACCUUACCAAGGCUUGACAUAUACUGGACUGCGUCAGAGAUGGCGUUUCCCUUCGGGGCUGGUAUACAGGUGGUGCAUGGUUGUCGUCAGCUCGUGUCGUGAGAUGUUGGGUUAAGUCCCGCAACGAGCGCAACCCUCGUUCUAUGUUGCCAGCACGUGAUGGUGGGGACUCAUAGGAGACUGCCGGGGUUAACUCGGAGGAAGGUGGGGAUGACGUCAAAUCAUCAUGCCCCUUAUGUCUUGGGCUUCACGCAUGCUACAAUGGCCGGUACAGAGGGUUGCGAUACUGUGAGGUGGAGCUAAUCCCUAAAAGCCGGUCUCAGUUCGGAUUGGGGUCUGCAACUCGACCCCAUGAAGUCGGAGUCGCUAGUAAUCGCAGAUCAGCAACGCUGCGGUGAAUACGUUCCCGGGCCU
rnacentral:rRNA from 1 species